CGAGUGGCGGACGGGUGAGGAAUACAUCGGAAUCUACUCUGUCGUGGGGGAUAACGUAGGGAAACUUACGCUAAUACCGCAUAGACCUACGGGUGAAAGCAGGGGAUCUUCGGACCUUGCGCGAUUGAAUGAGCCGAUGUCGGAUUAGCUAGUUGGCGGGGUAAAGGCCCACCAAGGCGACGAUCCGUAGCUGGUCUGAGAGGAUGAUCAGCCACACUGGAACUGAGACACGGUCCAGACUCCUACGGGAGGCAGCAGGU
rnacentral:rRNA from 1 species